AACGAACGCUGGCGGCAGGCUUAACACAUGCAAGUCGAGCGCCCCGCAAGGGGAGCGGCAGACGGGUGAGUAACGCGUGGGGAUGUGCCUGGUGGUACGGAACAACUCAGGGAAACUUGAGCUAAUACCGUAUAAGCCCUUAGGGGGAAAGAUUUAUCGCCACCAGAUCAACCCGCGUUGGAUUAGCUAGUUGGUGAGGUAACGGCUCACCAAGGCGACGAUCCAUAGCUGGUCUGAGAGGAUGAUCAGCCACACUGGGACUGAGACACGGCCCAGACUCCUACGGGAGGCAGCAGUGGGGAAUAUUGGACAAUGGGCGCAAGCCUGAUCCAGCCAUGCCGCGUGUGUGAUGAAGGCCUUAGGGUUGUAAAGCACUUUCACUGGGGAAGAUAAUG
rnacentral:rRNA from 1 species